rnacentral:rRNA from 1 species
UGCGUAGGCGGAUUAAUAAGUCAGUGGUGAAAACCUGCAGCUUAACUGUAGAACUGCCAUUGAUACUGUUAGUCUUGAGUACGGUCAAGGUAGGCGGAAUGUGUAAUGUAGCGGUGAAAUGCUUAGAUAUUACACAGAACACCGAUUGCGAAGGCAGCUUACUGGACCAUUACUGACGCUGAGGUACGAAAGCGUGGGGAGCGAACAGGAUUAGAUACCCUGGUAGUCC